CUACGUGCCAGCAGCCGCGGUAAUACGUAUGUCGCAAGCGUUAUCCGGAAUUAUUGGGCAUAAAGGGCAUCUAGGCGGCCAGAUAAGUCUGGGGUGAAAACUUGCGGCUCAACCGCAAGCCUGCCCUGGAAACUAUGUGGCUAGAGUACUGGAGAGGUGGACGGAACUGCACGAGUAGAGGUGAAAUUCGUAGAUAUGUGCAGGAAUGCCGAUGAUGAAGAUAGUUCACUGGACGGUAACUGACGCUGAAGUGCGAAAGCUAGGGGAGCAAACAGGAUUAGAUACCCUGGUAGUCCUAGCUGUAAACGAUGAUUACUGGGUGUGGGCAUGAAGAGUGUCCGUGCCGAAGCUAAUGCGAUAAGUAAUCCGCCUGGGGAGUACGGCCGCAAGGCUGAAGCUCAAAGGAAUUGACGGGGACCCGCACAAGCGGUGGAGCAUGUGGUUUAAUUCGACGCAACGCGAGGAACCUUACCAGAUCUUGACAUCCUG
rnacentral:rRNA from 1 species